GUGGCUCAGUUGUGAGGUGCCCCAAGGGCUUUCCUUUUUUAAUGGAAGUACACACUUCUUUGGAGGGAGCUAUUAACAUUACAUACUCCCCUCUUCUUU